CACCAGACUCCUACGGGAGGCAGCAGUGGGGAAUAUUGCACAAUGGGGGAAACCCUGAUGCAGCAACGCCGCGUGGGUGAAGGAGCGUUUCGGCGCGUAAAGCCCUGUCAGCGGGGAAGAAGAAAGACGGUACCCGACCAAGAAGCCCCGGCUAACUACGUGCCAGCAGCCGCGGUAAUACGUAGGGGGCGAGCGUUAUCCGGAAUUACUGGGUGUAAAGGGAGCGUAGACGGCAGUGCAAGUCUGAAGUGAAAGGCGGGGGCCCAACCCCCGGACUGCUUUGGAAACUGUGCUGCUGGAGUGCAGGGGAGGCAAGUGGAAUUCCUAGUGUAGCGGUGAAAUGCGUAGAUAUUAGGAGGAACACCAGUGGCGAAGGCGGCUUGCUGGACUGUAACUGACGUUGAGGCUCGAAAGCGUGGGGAGCAAACAGGAUUAGAUACCCGCGUA
rnacentral:rRNA from 1 species